AUUGAACGCUGGCGGCAUGCCUUACACAUGCAAGUCGAACGGCAGCACGGGUGCUUGCACCUGGUUGCGAGUGGCGAACGGGUGAGUAAUACAUCGGAACAUGUCCUGUAGUGGGGGAUAGCCCGGCGAAAGCCGGAUUAAUACCGCAUACGAUCUACGGAUGAAAGCGGGGUACCUUCGGGCCUCGCGCUAUAGGGUUGGCCGAUGGCUGAUUAGCUAGUUGGUGGGGUAAAGGCCUACCAAGGCGACGAUCAGUAUCUGGUCUGAGAGGACGACCAGCCACACUGGGACUGAGACACGGCCCAGACUCCUACGGGAGGCAGCAGUGGGGAAUUUUGGACAAUGGGCGAAAGACUGAUCCAGCAAUGCCGCGUGUGUGAAGAAGGCCUUCGGGUUGUAAAGCACUUUUGUCCGGAAAGAAAUCCUUGGCCCUAAUACGGUCGGGGGAUGACGGUACCGGAAGAAUAAGCACCGGCUAACUACGUG
rnacentral:rRNA from 1 species